UUGAAUAUUGACUUUUAAUCCUCAG
rnacentral:piRNA from 1 species